rnacentral:tRNA from 1 species
GCCUGUGUUGCUAAGUGGUUAGAGUGUUGGCCUGAACACCAAAGGGUCUAGGGUUCAAUUCCUGGUCAAGGGCA